GAUGAACGCUAGCGGCAGGCCUAAUACAUGCAAGUCGACCGGUGUAGCAAUACACAGUGGCGCACGGGUGCGUAACACGUAUGCAACCUACCUUACAUUGGGGGAUAGCUGUUCGAAAGUGAGAGUAAUACCGCAUAAGACAGUAACUAGGCAUCUAGUAGCUGUUAAAGAUUUAUCGAUGUAAGCUGUGCAUGCGUACAAUUAGCUAGUUGGCGAGGUAAUGGCUCACCAAGACGAUGAUUGGUAGGUGAACUGAGAUGUCAAUCCCACACACUGUCACUGAGAUACGGGCCAGACUCCGACGGGAGGCAGCAGUAGGGAAUAUUGGGCAAUGGGCACAAGCCUGACCCAGCCAUGCCGCGUGCAGGAAGAAGGCGUUAUGCGUUGUAAACUGCUUUUAUACAGGAAGAAACGACCCUUGCGAGGGGCAUUGACGGUACUGUAUGAAUAAGCACCGGCUAACUCCGUGCCAGCCGCCGCAGUAACAC
rnacentral:rRNA from 1 species